UUGAGGGCCGCAUCCACCUAAUGGCCGUACAGGUGGAUUGGCGUCACCGCCGUGGUGGGCGGGGCGCUCACAACGCAGGAGGGGCUUGUCUCCGGCACUUUACUAACCCUACGUUGUCAACACUCCUGUAAUAAGGCAGAGCACAACCACCGCCUCUCUCGUCGCCUCGCUGCUGUGUGAGCUCGCCUCGUCUUCUUCAGCUUCCCUCCAAGGCGCUUUUAUCUCCGACGCAAAGGUGGUGUUUGGUCUGUUUGCCAGGCAUUACCAUAAAUACCUGGGAGUGAAAGAUGGGCCGCUGCGGGAGCCUGUGAACUGCUCGUGUUGUGGCUGCGGUCCUUGUGUGGCUGCGAGGCGAGGACAUGCACCGGGUCAUGUUGAAAAUAGGACCUGUCGACUUGAAUGAGAAGGAAGUGGCGGGGAGAAAGAAGCAGAUUGGCAGCGCUGCUCUCAGGGUGUCCAGCGCUGCCUAGUUUUCAAGCGACAAGCCACUGAAGCAUGAAGGAGAGGAAGGCACACUAUGCUUGCUGGUUCCUAGUUAGCUGAAGCAUGACCUCGUUGGAAGACAGCAAUGGAGAGCGGGUCCUUUUGGGAGCAGCAGAGGAGCAGUCCAUGUCUUCAGAGGUGUGGGUGGCAAGAGCAGCCGACUAGCCACUGCUCUUGUUCAGCAGCAUGGAUAUUUGCCAUUCAUCUCCUGCUGGCAUGGCAAAACACCACUGCUGCAAUCUCUCAGGUCACUGGUGUGGUGGACUUCCAGCAGGAUCCAAGGAAGCAAACAACAAAGGAGGAACAGGUCACUGGGCCAGGCACAGAGUACCAGAUGAAGGAUGCUUUGAUGCCUGCAGAACAGUGGCAGUGGUGAGAGUCCCAAGGCGCCUCCCACAGGAGAGCAUGGAGUAUGAAAGGUUGAAUAUCAACAAGCCACUAACAAGGUCAUCUGAGAAAAUAAUAAAUGUCAAGAGGGAAUGGAUGGCUGAGAAGAGUGGGAAAGUGACCAUUCACCUGGGCAAGGCCUUGGGCGAGAACCGGUUGUAUGGCAGGAAUGGAGUCCACGUGAAUCCUGACAGCAGCACAAGGACGGAUGAAAGCAGGAAGUGUGUUGCAUGGACAUGACAUGAGGACGACAAACAACUGAAGAUGCAACAACAAGAGAAGGCUGCUACCAGGCAUGAAAAUGCACAAGGUUUGGGAUGUGUGUAAGGAUUAAAUGAAUGGCAUGUUGACUUAGUCGGAAUGACUGAGACACAUUUGAGGGAUGAUAUGCAAAUGAAUGGCAGUGAGCAUGUGAUGAUUUGAAAGGGACAGGAGGAUGUUCACCAUAGAGUGGAAGGAAGAAGGAUCAUCUUCAUAGAAAGGAAAGGAACCUCAGAAUAGUUAUAUCUAGGAGGAAACUGCCAUAACUGAAAACUCACUGAUAUUAGCAGUGAAAGUAGAGUGUACAGGUGAGCAUGACAAGUCAUGUACACAACAGUUAAGGGUUUAAGAGCAAGAGAGAAUAGCAGGAAGUACGGCAUUUUUAAAAAAAGAUUGUAAGAAUACUAGUAGGCUGAACAGCAUGAGAGACAUGAAUGCACAUCUAGCUACAUUGAGAUGAAUGCACAUCUAACUACAUUGAGAGUGUAAGAGAAUCAAAAUUGAAAUUCAUGCUUGCUGAGUUUAUAGAUGAAAAUAAUCCAGAGAAUUUGAAGACCAUGGCAGAAGACUGGGUGAUGUGGCAUGCAAGGAAUCAGGAGUCAGUGAAUGACUGUGUUAGUGAAAGGGAGAAUGCAUGAGAAUGUUGCUUGUGUGUGGAGAGAUGAGGAAUGAAUGAUUGAUAGUGUCAGAAAAUAAUACAUUUGUUGUACAUUGCAUGAUGUAAAGGUAAGAAAGAAGAGGUGGGGAUGAAGUGAUGCUAAUUGGGAGGAAUUGCAGAUGUGCUUGAGUGAAUGUGGAACCCAGGGAAGCUAGAGGAUAAAGAUGAGAUGAAUGAUAGAUUAUUUAAAAACUGAAAAGUGCUUAAGUCUUGUAACAAAACAAGUUUUGUUCAAAUGAAAGGAAAGACUGAAUAAGUCAUGGUGGAAUGAAAAUCUUAGGAUAGCAACAAUGGAGUGAGACAGUUGUGUAGAUAGGAUAGAUGAUUGCAAGAAAAGUAGGAUAGAUGAUGAUUGCAAGAAAAGUGAUAUUUACUUAGGUUUUUUUAGAUGAGAAAGAAUAAUAGGAUCAACAGAAAUGAAGAAAUAUAGAAACAUUGUGUGAGGAGUGAGAGGUUAGUCAAAGAUGUAUUUUAUCACAACCCUAAACUAUCAAGCCUGUAUAGAAAACAUUUAGUAGUCAGGAUGAGAGGAAUGAAUGGAGUAAGUAUGGGAAAUGGAUAUAUGUGCUAUUAUUAUAUGCAGAUGAUGAAUUGAAUUUAUUGAGUAAGCUCAGACUUUUAUUUAUAAAAGUAUGAAGCACAGCUCUCCAGCAAAAGAAUACAAACACCAUAAAUUAUAUACAGCAUGUGCAUAAUAUUACAUAAAGAAAAAAAGACAUACAAAUGAAAUACACCAAGCAUACAAAUGAAAUACACUAAGCAAUGGCAAAAAAAAGAAUAAAAAAAUAUGUAUACAUAUAUAAUGAUACAUUUACUAAUUACUAAUUAAGAAAUUAGAAAAACUAUUGACCUGUUUUGCACACUAUUUAUCUAAACAUGCAUAGCACCAUCCUCAAAAACAAAGGUAAUUUCUUCAUCACACUUGAACUUGUACUUUGCAUGAACAUAUUUGAAUUGUGUUGGCCUAUUUAUGUAAUGAUUUGGUAUAUACAUAUUACGUAACCUAACAAUUUCCACGUCCAUACAUUCAAAAAGAACACGAAAUUCAUCUCCUACUACCUCAACAUCACACUUGUUACAUACCCUAUCUUCUCUACUGACACCUUGUUACCUACCAACAUUUACAGGAAGUCUAUUAUUACAAGUUCUAAAUUUAGUCACUAAUAAUCUGUCACCCUUUGUUAACUUUUCUAAAUACUGUUCUCUGCCAAAAUCUGUCUUAAACACCCUAUAAUUGCUACUUAAUGAUUUUUUCCUAAAUUAUGAUGCCAAGUUACAAGCCACUGAUCUUUCAAUCUCUGUUCCACAGCUUUCUUCACCCAUCUUGAAUUAGGAACAUCUUGCAACAACCACAUACCAUACAUUCCACAGUCAUUACAAAUAUUCUUUAUACAAGCUAACCAUGGAGAAGUAUAAAGCCCUAAUCUAUCCAGCUGCAAUAGACAUUGGUACAUUACAUAAUACAAUUUAGUAUUUUUACCUGAAAUUAGCCUAGACCAAGGUUAAUCUUUUUUUUUUUCUUGAUAUAUAAAGUUGUGGUUAUCACGAGUGAGUCCACAGAAGAGCUCCAAAGCUUAUCAGAUGUGGGUGGGUAUGGUAUAGAUUUUGGAUAAGAUUUAACAUGCACAAGAAUACGAGUAUCUAGGAAUGUGCAUGUAUCCAAAUGGUUGUGGAAAGCCAAAGAAUCAAAUGAUUAGCAUGGUGAACCAGCAUAGCAAGGAUGAGGGCAGGCAAAUAUGAUGUACAAGGUUUGGAAGAGUGUGGCUGCCAAAGUAUUACUACGUACAGUACAGUGUGAUUGCAUGGAAUGAGGGAAUGAGUUGGAAGUAAGGCAGAAUAGAGUAGCAAGGAUGGCAUAGAGUGCAGCAAAGUAUGUAAUAGUUUGAAUGGUAAUAUGGGAUGAAGUAUAUUUAGGAAAAGGUAUAUGAAAGUAACCUUAAAGCAUAAAACUAGAUUGAAGUAAAUGUAGUAUGUAAUGUUAAUAAAAAAGGUGUAUCUGUGUCUGUAUCUGUGGACUGUAAGGAGUAGCGAGUGGGGAAGAAGAAUGGCAUGGUAGUUGGGCAUGCAUACUGACCACCUGAGGAAAGAUUGUGUGUGAAUGAGGAGGAUUGAUAGAAAGAAGACAAAAGUGGCAUGUGAAAAGUGGAAAAGUGAGAUAGAUAGCAGUGAAAUGUGUGGAACCAAAUGAAUGGAAGAAUGAGAUGAAACUAAACAGGAGAAAGAGGCUCCACUGUAUGAAAAAUGGUGUGCACUUUCACAACAUAUAUACAUAUGCUCACACCUGCACACAUGUGUACACACCACAUACACUUUCACAAGUAGAUACUUGUUAAUCACUUGUUCCAUAAGCAUUCCUGCCUGCUCCAGGAGGCGCCAUUACUGGAUGUGGGAAACUACUUGACAGCCCUCUCACCCUUCUACAUACCAAAGGGCACCAUUAUGUGGGCAGAGAGGAUAGUGCAGGCACUGAGGAGGCAGAUCCUUCAGCUUUAGGGUUGCAGGGGAAAAUGUAUCCUGAAAAUCCAUGUCAAAUUGUUCAUGGUGUUUGUCUGUGCUGGUUUAGAAUACUCCACAAUGGUAUGAGGGAAGCCUGAGUGAUGAUCUCUUCUAAGUGAAAGUACAGGGUAUGGCUGUGAAUACUAGGAAUUCUAGAUGGUACAAGUCCUGCAGCAAAGUGUGCCAAAUGUGUGACAUGGGAGAGAAUGAGACAGUUGAGCAUGUGAUGCUGGAAAGCGAGAAGUAUGAGGAUGGAGCAAAUAAAAGCGUGGAGAACAUGGAAGAGGAAUGGAUGGUACUGCUGCUGGGCCCGUGUAGAGGGAUGAAUGAAAGGAUGAUGGAAGAUGUAACAAGUUCAGUGUAGGGGAACUGGUAUUGUGGUUGAUACUGUUGUUUUGUAAUUUUUCCUUUACAGGAGUUCCUACUCUAAAGGCCUGACUUAGGAACAAAACUGAGUCAGCUAUAGCAUAAAGGUAUAGAUGCACAUUAGCAGGACAUUUUUUUCAGGCAUAUGUGAGAGUCUGCAGAAUGCUGGGCCAGGCAUGCAUGUGGCAGGACACUGAACAUGUCUUCACUUGUGGUGAGACUGCACAAGCUUAGCAAGGAGUGAUGACCAGGGUUGUUGUGUCUGCCCUGGUGGCAGCAGUGUGGGCAAUGAAACACAUGUAGCCCCGGGAGUUCAUGAUGAUGUUGAACACCUCAUCAGGGCUUGGCUGUCACAUUUGCCUUACUUGAAGCACUAAAAAAGUAAACAAGAAAGGUCCCUCCAACAAGCAAUGUUGGUUAAUUUCCUGUGUAACAUAAUUACCAAGUUGACUGUCACAAUAGACAGUGGCACUGUAUUUUAUGUAUUGCCUCAAAGACAUUUCAUUUUGAUCAGGCCUCUGAUUCCAUUUUAGGGAGAGAAUAUGGCAAGAGUUUGAAACAGGCUAACUGUGCACUCGUAUUCAUGGCACUGGGCUUAUAAUGAAAUGGAAGAUGGUAUCAAGAUAUUUUUCUAUUCAGGGGAAACCAGAUUCAAAAUGCUAUUUGCAAUCAAGAUGGAGUGCAUUGUUCUCUAUUUCAGACUCCUUGUAUGGGAAAUGAUAAAUGUUUCAAUGUUGAUAAAAUACAUUUCUUUAGUAAUUCACCACACCCCUUGAAAAGCCUUUGAACACACUUCUGAAAUAUAAAAAUUGAAAAUUUAAUGGGAACAAAUUUCUAUAUCAAUGACCCCCAGAAUUUAUCUUGAAGCCCAUGUGCACAAAACACCUAAAAAUGGGGGUCAAUCUUGCCACCCAAGUCUUGCCAUACACAUCUGCAGCAUGCAUUAACACCCAUUCCACCACAAGCCUGCUGCUACAGUCAACAGAAUUUGUAUAUGAAGUGGAUACUUUAAUUACUGCAGUAUCACUAAAAUGUAUUUAAAGGAACUUUAUAGUCAUGAGAAGUUUGUGCACCAUGUGUACAAAUUCACUGUAUGGAUGGCUGCCUGACAAACAGCAUCACUCGAGACUUUGUGGCAAGAUAUUUAAGUCUAUAAAGUAUCUUACCCCACAGCUGAAUCAAAACUGUAUGGAAAAUCAAUUUACCAAACUGAGGAAUAAUUUGUAUAAAGUGUAUAUGCUUAUCUUAAAUAAGCAACGUUUUGAAAAAUCCUGAAGGAAUUGUUUAAAACAAAGUAAGUAAUGGUCUUGUAUAUGUAACGGCUGUUUUAUGUUCUGUUCCUGUGCUUGUUCUAUUUGCCUAACCCCUCAAAUUGUGUAUGUAAUUUUAACAGCUGCUGCCACCUCUACUUCUGACUAAAAGCUAUAUGUCAGUGUGUGCAAAAUGCAUGUACUACUUUGGCACUGCUGCUGUACUGUGUAAGUGCAUGUAUUCCUUUCUCACAGCAAUGGUGUUGUGUUAUUAAAUUAAUAGGUGCAUGUAUUACUUUGUCACUGCUGCUGUGUUGUGCUGUUUAAGUUCUGUUAUUGCUUUAUUACUGCUAACAUGUACUAGCUGUAUGUAUUGCUUUAUAACUAUUCUUGUGAUGUAUUCUGGCGUUUGGCAUGAUGGCAAAAGAUGCAACACUGCAUCAAGUGCAAAUGUUUUUUGCUUGUUGGAAACUAUUUUCAGAAAUGCAGCCGUUAGCUGUUCUAUUUUAUUAGCAGCAGUGAUUGAAAAAUUGUGAUUUAAUUCUGUCUGUAGUCUACCACUAAUAAAAUAUGCAAAAGC